CGGAUUAAUAGCUUGCUCUUAUGAAGUUAGCGGCGGACGGGUGAGUAACACGUGGGUAACCUGCCCAUAAGACUGGGAUAACUCCGGGAAACCGGGGCUAAUACCGGAUAACAUUUUGAACCGCAUGGUUCGAAAUUGAAAGGCGGCUUCGGCUGUCACUUAUGGAUGGACCCGCGUCGCAUUAGCUAGUUGGUGAGGUAACGGCUCACCAAGGCAACGAUGCGUAGCCGACCUGAGAGGGUGAUCGGCCACACUGGGACUGAGACACGGCCCAGACUCCUACGGGAGGCAGCAGUAGGGAAUCUUCCGCAAUGGACGAAAGUCUGACGGAGCAACGCCGCGUGAGUGAUGAAGGCUUUCGGGUCGUAAAACUCUGUUGUUAGGGAAGAACAAGUGCUAGUUGAAUAAGCUGGCACCUUGACGGUACCUAACCAGAAAGCCACGGCUAACUACGUGCCAGCAGCCGCGGUAAUACGUAGGUGGCAAGCGUUAUCCGGAAUUAUUGGGCGUAAAGCGCGCGCAGGUGGUUUCUUAAGUCUGAUGUGAAAGCCCACGGCUCAACCGUGGAGGGUCAUUGGAAACUGGGAGACUUGAGUGCAGAAGAGGAAAGUGGAAUUCCAUGUGUAGCGGUGAAAUGNCUACAGAUAUGGAGGAACACUCUUUGCCGAACGCUACUUCCCGGCCUGUAACUGACUCUGAUCUCUACACUCUGUGGUG
rnacentral:rRNA from 2 species